rnacentral:lncRNA from 1 species
ACCCACAUUAGAAAAUCAAGUGUAAUCCAAUCAGGAGGUGAAGAGAGGCUUACGAAAGCAAUGUAUUAGAGAGGAAAGACCAGAGCAAGAUUUUGAAGAGAUAGCUUCUCUGGGACAUGAAGCCUGGAUGAAGAAGCACUGUGCAUAGACUCCAGGGGAAAAUGAAGGAAGUGACAAAGGGAGCAUUCACUCUUCUGCAUUGGAGAUUGGAUUUCCCGACAUGAAAUUAUAAACUAAGUAAGAAUGCUGAGUACAGAAGGAUCCAAAGGUAGGUCUAUGACACAGGAUGUACACACAGGCUCAGUAAUGUAAACCUUU